rnacentral:rRNA from 1 species
UGGGGAAUAUUGCGCAAUGGGCGAAAGCCUGACGCAGCGACGCCGCGUGGGGGAUGACGGCCUUCGGGUUGUAAACCUCUUUCAGCAGGGACGAAGCGCAAGUGACGGUACCUGCAGAAGAAGCACCGGCCAACUACGUGCCAGCAGCCGCGGUAAUACGUAGGGUGCAAGCGUUGUCCGGAAUUAUUGGGCGUAAAGAGCUCGUAGGCGGUCUGUCGCGUCGGCUGUGAAAUCCCGAGGCUCAACCUCGGGUCUGCAGUCGAUACGGGCAAACUGGAGUGUUGCAGGGGAGACUGGAAUUCCUGGUGUAGCGGUGAAAUGCGCAGAUAUCAGGAGGAACACCGGUGGCGAAGGCGGGUCUCUGGGCAACAACUGACGCUGAGGAGCGAAAGCGUGGGGAGCGAACAGGAUUAGAUACCCUGGUAGUCCACGCCGUAAACGUUGGGCGCUAGGUGUGGGGCUCGAUUCCACGAGUUCCGUGCCGCAGCUAACG